rnacentral:rRNA from 1 species
UGGGGAAUAUUGCACAAUGGGCGCAAGCCUGAUGCAGCCAUGCCGCGUGUAUGAAGAAGGCCUUCGGGUUGUAAAGUACUUUCAGCGGGGAGGAAGGGAGUAAAGUUAAUACCUUUGCUCAUUGACGUUACCCGCAGAAGAAGCACCGGCUAACUCCGUGCCAGCAGCCGCGGUAAUACGGAGGGUGCAAGCGUUAAUCGGAAUUACUGGGCGUAAAGCGCACGCAGGGGGUUUGUUAAGUCAGAUGUGAAAUCCCCGGGCUCAACCUGGGAACUGCAUCUGAUACUGGCAAGCUUGAGUCUCGUAGAGGGGGGUAGAAUUCCAGGUGUAGCGGUGAAAUGCGUAGAGAUCUGGAGGAAUACCGGUGGCGAAGGCGGCCCCCUGGACGAAGACUGACGCUCAGGUGCGAAAGCGUGGGGAGCAAACA